GGAGGGUUGGCAAAGUCUGGUCAAUGCAGCCGAUUGAUACUCGGCAAUCCGCGCGAACGGAUCGAGGGUUCGAAUCCCUCACCCUAUU
rnacentral:tRNA from 1 species